AUUGAACGCUGGCGGCAGGCCUAACACAUGCAAGUCGAACGAGUGGCGGACGGGUGAGCAGUGUCUGGGAAACUGCCCGAUGGAGGGGGAUAACUACUGGAAAUGGUAGCUAAUACCGCAUACCAACGGAUGUGCCCAGAUGGGAUUGGCUAGUAGGUGGGGUAAUGGCUUACGUGGGAGACGAACCCUAGCGGGUCUGAGAGGAUGAGCAGCCACCCUGGAACUGAGACACGGUCCCGACUCCUACGGGGGGCAGCAGUGGGUAAUAUUGCACGAUGGGCGCGUGCCUAAUGCAGCCAUGCGGCGUGUAUGAAGAAGGACUUCGGGCUGUAAAGCACUUUCAGCGAGGAGGCGUUACUCGCAGAAGAAGCACCGGCUAACUCCGUGCCAGCAGCCGCGGUAAUAC
rnacentral:rRNA from 1 species